ACAUCGGUAGCUCAGUGGUUAGUGCAGUCUAGCGGAAACAGAAAGGCGCGGGUUCAAUUCCCGCCCGAUGUG
rfam:Nippostrongylus brasiliensis genome assembly, scaffold: NBR_scaffold0005527